rnacentral:tRNA from 2 species
UAGCUCAGUUGGUUAGAGCACCACCUUGACAUGGUGGGGGUCGUUGGUUCGAGUCCAA